ACGAACGCUGGCGGCAUGCCUAACACAUGCAAGUCGAACGAGACCUUCGGGUCUAGUGGCGCACGGGUGCGUAACGCGUGGGAACCUGCCCUUAGGUUCGGAAUAACUCCCCGAAAGGGGUGCUAAUACCGGAUAAUGUCUUCGGACCAAAGAUUUAUCGCCUUUGGAUGGGCCCGCGUUGGAUUAGCUAGUUGGUAGGGUAAAAGCCUACCAAGGCGACGAUCCAUAGCUGGUCUGAGAGGAUGAUCAGCCACACUGGGACUAAGACACGGCCCAGACUCCUACGGGAGGCAGCAGUGGGGAAUAUUGGACAAUGGGCGAAAGCCUGAUCCAGCAAUGCCGCGUGAGUGAUGAAGGCCUUAGGGUUGUAAAGCUCUUUUACCCGGGAUGAUAAUGACAGUACCGGGAGAAUAAGCUCCGGCUAACUCCGUG
rnacentral:rRNA from 1 species